rnacentral:rRNA from 1 species
AUGCGUGAUCAAGCAAAUGAACUGAAGGCCCUGGAGAGCAUGUUAAGUGAUGCAAGUGCAGAGCCAACAAAGCUAUCAUAUGCACUUUUAAAAUCAGUUACAAGAAAUUUUUCUCGAAUGAUCGAGCGUGGUGGGUUUGGAGCUGUUUACCUGGGAAUUCUUCCAAAAGGAAAAGUUGCGGUGAAGAAGCUCUCUAUAUUGCAGGAUUUAUCUAAUAAUGCAUUCGUGGACGAGAUUGUAUGUUUGAAAAAGGCACAUCAUAGUAAUGUAGUCAGACUUCUAGGCUAUUGUGCACUUGCACACGGUGAACUGAUGGAAGUGAAUGGAACACAUGUGAUAGCACAGGAAACACAAAGGUUACUCUGCUUUGAGUAUGUUCCUAAUGGAGACCUUCAGAAUUAUAUUAAAGGAAAUGUUAUCUGA